GAUGAACGCUGGCUGCGUGCCUAAUACAUGCAAGUCGAGCGAGUGGCGGACGGGUGAGUAACACGUGAUAACCUACCUAUAAGACUGGGAUAACUACGGGAAACUGUAGCUAAUACCGCGUACCAUAGGAUGAGCCCAAGUGGGAUUAGGUAGUUGGUGAGGUAAAGGCUCACCAAGCCAACGAUCUCUAGCUGGUCUGAGAGGAUGACCAGCCACACUGGGACUGAGACACGGCCCAGACUCCUACGGGAGGCAGCAGUGGGGAAUGUUGCGCACUGGGGGCAACCUGACGCAGCCAUGCCGCGUGAAUGAGGAAGGUCUUCGGGUUGUAAAGUUCUUUCGGUAGCGAGGCGUUAACUACACAGAAAGCACCGGCUAACUCCGUGCCAGCAGCCGCGGUAAUAC
rnacentral:rRNA from 1 species